GGAGCGGCGCUCUGUUAAAACGAGCAUCUCACAACAGCGGCAGCACCUGAAGACGCUGUUUGCGAGUCAGUUAAACCGGCUCCCAGUGAAAAGCGCUCAAACAGAUUUUUCUUGCUUUAGCUGAACUUGCUCUGGGCUUGUCUGCAGACUGCUAAACGCCAGGCGCUGUGCGGCCGCCUUCAUCGAGUUCAUUUUUACGUUGCAGGUUUUCAAACGCUCUUCCCACAGGUGACUGCGGACCCUCUGCUUGGAACCACAAACCACAGCCAACGACAGAGGGGACCUGCACCGUGGACGCGGCGGCGGUGACAUCACUUCCUGGACACGGCGGUAGCCAAUCGGAUCACAACAGCAAAAAGGACAAGGGGAAAAAGAAGAAGACCCAGCCCGCUGGUCCUACAGAACCGGAUCCCGGGGCAGUGGAGCGGCGCAGAGAGCUGGAGCACUACCUCAAGCUGAAGAGCUCUGGCUGGAUUCAGGAUCGGGGAGGGGACUGGGUGAAGGAUGAGGGCGUGGAAUUCGACUCUGAUGAAGAGACACCCCUCCCUGCUUCCUGAAGCCCUCGACGGAUUUGGCAGGAGGCGGGUUCCCAUCCUCGCUGACGUCCUCUCCUGCAGGAAACUUUUUGGAUUUCAAAUGUUGUUUUUGAGCAGCAGUUCGAUUUUGUGUUUUUUUUUUAAUUCUCUAGAUGGUGGAACUGAAUACCGUCUGCCUUCUUAACCGUCGUCUCUCGCUGGUGUUUUUAUACCUCAUGGGAGAUGUGCUUUUAUAACCUCUCUAGAUAAACUGGGAUAGGGUUAUAAAUUGUCAGGCUGAGCUGUUAAAAUGUUCAAAGCAAUGUGACCUCCUGGAUGACUCUAGCUUUCCCUAGUAACGUUUCCUGCCUAAAUCUCACCCGUGGUCGGGUUUUCAAAGGGGCUCUGCCGGAUGAAAUCAAAAGGUGGGGGUCCCUUCCUAAACCAGGGGGUGCCCAAAGCAGACUGUCCCAUACCCUGUUUUAACCAAAUUAAAUCAAAACUCCGUCCAGACGGUGGAGUUGCUUGCGAUCUCCGUUUCACCUCCUGGAGCAGAGUGGUCGUUCAGAGCCGCGAUUGAUUGGCCAGACGACCCCUGUUCUGAAGGCUUGCAGCUGUUGUCUCCUAAGCUCUCUGCUCCUCCCGUCCUCCGCAGCGAGUAUUUUGAGAGGCUUGUAACCUGAUUCCAGGCUGGAUCAGUUUCGCCCGCUGACCGCCUCAUCUUCUCCUUGGUAUUAAUAAACCCAGAGCAGAGGGCACAGUCCUGGAACCAGGUGGAGGGAUCAAUCCACAGCCAGGGGGUGGGGGGGGGGGGACUUCUCCCUAGAAAUUCCAGCCUUCAAAUGAAACGUCUGGCUGCGAACGGGCAGGUUCAGCCCGGCAAAAUUUUCAGUGUCCACCCGCGAUUUUAAAAAGCGUGCGCUGUGCGUCCAGCAUUGGAUCGCUGUGGGUUUUGUUAAUCUUUUCACACGAUCGCUUUGUUUUACUUCUCUCCUGAGGACAGUGCGUCGUUCUCGACGAAUAACUCUCCUGGUUAAACACGUUUAAAAAAAUAGAUAAACGAAUCGCACAAACAUUGAGGAGACACAACGAGCAAGAAAAAAGAAUUGUUUAUUAUUUA